rnacentral:tRNA from 1 species
GUCCUUGUAGCCCAACUGGUAGAGGCGCUGGAUUCAGAUUCCAGUGGUUGUGGGUUCGACUCCCUCCAAGGACACCG